rnacentral:rRNA from 1 species
AUACGGAGGGUGCAAGCGUUAUCCGGAUUUGUUGGGUUUAAAGGGUGCGUAGGCGGAUCGGUCAGUCAGUGGUGAAAUCCCAUAGCUUAACUAUGGAACUGCCAUUGAUACUGCCAAUCUCGAGUAUAGUUGAAGUGGAUGGAAUGUAACAUGUAGCGGUGAAAUGCAUAGAUAUGUUACAGAACACCGAUUGCGAAGGCAGUUCACUAAACUAUUACUGACGCUGAGGCACGAAAGCGUGGGGAGCGAACAGGAUUAGAAACCCUAGUAGUCC